CACUGCUCUCUUUCCUCAUCGGCAACCAGCUGGUUACCGUGGGAAGAGAACCUUCAUACACUCGGCCUCAGAGUGACCCAUGUGUCAGGAGUGAGAGCAUUCCUACACUCUAGUCUUCGGGUGUCUCUUCUCAGGCCUCAUAGGGAAGCCUGCUUCCCAUUCUGUAUCCAGCUGCCUCUGACCUGGCUAUGGUAGCAUGAAGUAACCAGGGCAUCAACAACCACCCACUCUGGGAAAGAAUUCCCAGAGCCUCUGUUUACCACCUGGAAGAUCCUGAAGGUGCUGUGAGAAUGAAAUGGAGCCAAGCUGCAGAAGCCUUUUCCCGGUGCCUCAGAUGUGACACUUCAUGCCUGUCCGGUCUCCCCAGACCUGGCCAAAGUCUGCCCAGCGCCUCUCCUCUGGAAGCCUUUGAAGGCCCCUUCCUGGAAGGCUGGAUUGUGUCAGAGACCAAGAAUGGUGCGCAGCACUGGACAGUUCCUACCCAGGCAUCUAGACACAGACGUUGGACAGAGGCCACCAUGAAGUUUCCAACAGACGUGACAGGUGAACUUGCCAAAGACCAUUUGUCAGGCCUAAGCUGUUCUGGAUAUCCAAGGAGACCUCUCUGAUGUCUACAAGGCUGUGAAGCUCGAU
rnacentral:lncRNA from 1 species